rnacentral:rRNA from 1 species
AAUCUUCCACAAUGGGCGAAAGCCUGAUGGAGCAACGCCGCGUGGGUGAAGAAGGUCUUCGGAUCGUAAAAUUCUGUUAUAAGGGAAGAAAGGUGAUAGGAGGAAAUGACUAUCAAUUGACGGUAUCUAACCAGAAAGCCACGGCUAACUACGUGCCAGCAGCCGCGGUAAUACGUAGGUGGCAAGCGUUAUCCGGAUUUAUUGGGCGUAAAGGGAACGCAGGCGGUCUUUUAAGCCUGAUGUGAAAGCCUUCGGCUUAACCGGAGUAGUGCAUUGGAAACUGGGAGACUUGAGUGCAGAAGAGGAGAGUGGAACUCCAUGUGUAGCGGUGAAAUGCGUAGAUAUAUGGAAGAACACCAGUGGCGAAAGCGGCUCUCUGGUCUGUAACUGACGCUGAGGUUCGAAAGCGUGGGUAGCA